AUUGAACGCUGGCGGCAGGCCUAACACAUGCAAGUCGAGCGGGGGUAGCAAUACCCUAGCGGCGAACGGGUGAGGAAUGCUUGGGAAUCUGCCUCGUAGUGGGGGAUAACGUUCCGAAAGGAACGCUAAUACCGCAUACGUCCUACGGGAGAAAGGGGGGGAUCUUCGGACCUCUCGCUAUGAGAUGAGCACAAGCGGGAUUAGCUAGUUGGUGAGGUAAAGGCUCACCAAGGCGACGAUCCCUAGCUGGUCUGAGAGGAUGAUCAGCCACACUGGAACUGAGACACGGUCCAGACUCCUACGGGAGGCAGCAGUGGGGAAUAUUGGACAAUGGGCGCAAGCCUGAUCCAGCCAUGCCGCGUGUGUGAAGAAGGCCUUCGGGUUGUAAAGCACUUUAAGCGAGGAGGAAGGUUCGUUACUUAAUACGUAACGGAAUUGACGUUACUCGCAGAAUAAGCACCGGCUAACUCUGUGCCAGCCGCCGCCGUAAAAC
rnacentral:rRNA from 1 species